rnacentral:rRNA from 1 species
CCUACGGGCGGCAGCAGUGAGGAAUAUUGGGCAAUGGGCGCAAGCCUGACCCAGCAACGCCGCGUGAAGGAAGAAGGCUUUCGGGUUGUAAACUUCUUUUGUCAGGGACGAAGCAAGUGACGGUACCUGCCGAAUAAGCCUCGGCUAACUACGGGCCAGCAGCCGCGGUAAUACGGAGGUGGCAAGCGUUAUCCGGAUUUAUUGGGUGUAAAGGGCGUGUAGGAGGGAAUGCAAGUCAGAUGGGAAAACUAUGGGCUCAACCCAUAGCCUGCAUUUGAAACUGUAUUUCUUGAGUGCUGGAGAGGCAAUCGGAAGUCCGUGUGUAGCGGUGAAAUGCGUAGAUAUACGGAGGAACACCAGUGGCGAAGGCGGAGUGCUGGACAGUAACUGACGCUGAGGCGCGAAAGCGUGGGGAGCAAACAGGAUUAGAUACCCGUGUAGUC